rnacentral:lncRNA from 1 species
CUACUUCUAAAAAGGAUUUAAGGACUAACAGUCUAGUCCGUAAAGAAACAAGUCACACGUCCCUAAAUCACAUUCAAUUUGCAACUAAAUUAUCUGGUAAUUAAUAUAAAGAUGAUACUACUUUCAUAAAAUAAUUACCAAAAGUGAUCAACAACAGUUACUUGCACCGCACAUCAAUAAUGUAAGCGAGUCACAGUAUUGUGUUCAUAAACCCUUAGCAAAAAAACUACAUAUCACUAAUAACCCUCGACUGUAAUGUAAAAUUUUAUUGACAUUCCCAGCAAAAGAUAUAUGGUCAAUCUGUACAUCGUCAAAAAUCUGCUUCUUGUAAACCUCACUAUCCAAAACCUGUAAAAGAAAUAAAAAAUUUCAUUUAGAAAAAUUAUAACAGUGUAGACGCAAAAAAAUCAGGGCUAGACAGAAGAUUAUAAAAAUAACAAAGAAAAAAGAAGCAACAAGAAACAAAUGGCUAGACACUAUUGUUCCAUUACAUCACUUGGACAAAGAAUUGAGACAAAUAGUGCAGUCUGUUAUAUUCGUGGGUUGGUCAAAGGAAAGAUUAUUGAGGUGAAUGGCAUUAUUUGAAAUAUCCAUUUUUGGUGAUAUCCAAAUUUACUGAGAGGGGAAUGGUGGUUCCAAUUUGCAAAACAGAGGUUAUAAAAGAUGAUCAUAAUCUAAAUUGGAAACCAGUUUCAGUGAAUAUUCAACAAGUUGGAAGUAAGGUAAAAGAACUGUUCUUCCAUGUCCUUCCUAGGCAAAUUUCUGAGACCAUCCCCUAAAAUGUAGAACCUUGGAAGGGAGGGACAGGAAAACCUAUGAAUCAGAUUUUUCUAUGAGCUAGUGUGCCUCUUUUUGGGAUCAUGUGCUAUUUCAUGUGAAUCAGAUGUCGGUAGCAAGUGUGGAAUUGCUAGAAUUUUCUGUAUGAAUUAUGAAAUUUGUGAAAAAGAAAUACUUUUGAUGUAGCCUAUAGUCAUAGUUUCUUUAGAUUGCUAACUCAAUGGUAGAUAACUCGGCUUUUUAAGUGUAGCUAGUUAUCAUUUACAACACCGAGAAUAAUUUUCAUGUAUUUUCUCUUUAAUUUAACAUGGUAUUUGUGGCCAUGUUUAUCUAAUCAAUAUCAAGUUAAUCAGUAAUUACAUAUAAAUUUAACUUAUAUACACUAACAACGUAAUGAACUUUACAUUAGUAAUGUAUUUUAACCUUUUUAUACACACCAAAGGUAAAGCGAAGACAACUAAAAGCACCUCCAGCAACAUGGACAUCAACAGAGAACUUAGUAUAGCAACUAUUAGAAAGAAGUACUAAUAUAGCAGCAAUUCUAUAUGAGUUAAAAACAGAAGGCCAGAAGUUUUACGAGCAACUGAACCAGUAGUAACAAAAACUCCAACACAAAGCAUUCCUCCAACUCCAAAAGCUACUAAAUCAUACCAUGUGAGUUUUCUUUUCAUGUCAGCACCAGACCUUAGCCUCACUUUGUUAAGCUCGGUCUGGUGUCAACACCAGAGAACUCAGUAUAGCACCAGAGAAAGUCAGUGCACAAUACUAAACCACUAACGUACAUUAAGAAAUCAGUAAUACGACAAAUAACUAUGCAUAACCAGCAAAUUCGUAAUCGACAGAAGAUGUAAAUUCCACAAAUGAUAUAUAACAACAUACACUUAAAUCAACAAAAUAAAUUGAUGUUUCGGCUAAGAUGUUACUCACUUGGUGUCAUCAAGAAUCGGAAUAGUCAUUCUCCUGAACUAGAUGCUGGAAAUUAGUCUGUUGCGCUAAUAUGAGAAAUUAAAACACAUAAGACACUUUAAAGUUAAAUCACUAAUUUUGUGUCGUAUUUUUCUUAAAUAAACAAAAUGAUACAAUAGCUAUCAUUCUAUUGUUCAAAAACUGUAAUGAUUGUUAUCUUAUGAGACACUAACUAUAUUUAUCACUUUUGUUUAAUCAAGAACUAGCUUCAUUUGAUCAAGAACUAGCUAUAUUUGUCACUUUACACUAGCUAUAUUUUCUACCUUCUAUAUCUUAAUUUCCAGCUUCAUACCCCACUAGGAUUACUGCACCUAUAGUUAGUUGCUUUGUCACUUCAGUUUUUAUUGUGAAGAAGAAGAAGAAGAAAAAAAAAAAACCAAACAAAUGAAGAAAUUUAUAUGCCCUUGUAGUGGAUACAAACUGAAUUUGAAAUUGAAAUACAAAAAUAACAUUUUCAUCUGGGGGUAAACAAUAUAUAUUAAAGUGUUAAAGGUCUCAUAUUCAAUCUCAAGAUUUUAUUUCAAAAUAAGAAACAUCUUUAGAAAAAAUACAAGAAAUCCUUAUCCAUAUUGAGGGUGCAACCUCGUAAUGUUCAGUGGUACAAGAAACUAGGCAAGAUGGUAUUUGUUCCAAUAGGUACAAAAUUCCUUCCGGCAGGGGAUGUUUUUGCCUUACCAGCUUCAAGAUAAAAGUAAUAAAAGAACUCUACGUCUUGAUCAUGCUUCUUGAUCUCUUGUCUUAGUCCGUCAACCAUAUCAGAGAUUUAACACCUUGCCAUACACCAAAAGUACGCACUUCUUUCUAUUAUCUUUUCAACAGUAGUUUUUAUUUAAAAUAUCCCCUUGUUUUAGGUGUCCCUUACACAACAGUAGCUAGGUUGAUAUGUAAAGUAGGGAGAAUAUCUCAUACCAACACCCAAAUCUAUAUUGUUGAUCAACUUUGAGGGACUAUCACUUCUGAUUCUAUAGAAUAUUUUAUACUUAGAUUUCCUGAACCUAAUUAAUUGGCUAUACUAAUGAAUGUUUUAUAACUAUUAACAAAACUAAUUAAUUGGCUAUACUAAUCUGCUCCAUCAAAAAUAUUCUUCUUCAAUCAAAACAAAACUUACAUUAUAACUAGAAUCAAAAUAGAGCCUAUAUUAUAAUGCUCAAAACAUUGACCUUAUUUUGGAGGGAGUAGUUCGCGACAGAGUAAAUGCAAGCAUUGACAGCGAAGAGCUUCGACGAGCGAGUCCAUCACUUCAACUAGAGUGCUAUUGACUAAGUAGAUUCAAUGGCAAAACUCAAUGGAAUGUUUUCAUCAGAAAAUUUAUUUGACAAAGCUAAUUUGCAUCACUGUUUCUUCUUCAUCUAAUUAUUUUUUUAAAUAUUAGAUUAGAAUUAGUGACUUACCAAAGGUAAUAAGUUGGCUAUACAAUUUAAAGAACCCAUAAAAAAUCAGAGUAACGAAACUGAAAUAGAGCACCUAAUGGUAAAAAAAAUCCAGCCAAUUCAUCACCUCAUAUGAAAAAUCACUAGACAUCCUACAAAAUUUUCGUGACCCUUCAAGAAAGUCCCCAGAGGAGUUGUAUAAUGCAAAUCGCAAAGGAGAAAACCAUCGCAUAGAUGAAACUCUACAAACUUCUCAUAUAAAGGCCAACUCAUUCUAAAUAUCUAAUCUAAGUCUAAAACUGCUGCUUUUCAAAAUUUUCCUAAAGAAAAGAGGGGUGCAUAUAUUAAAACUGUGCAACUGCCUUUCUCUGAUUCCAUGUAUAAAAGAAAAAGGUUACCUCUUCCCCACCUAGCUUCAUUCUCUUUGGAGCAGGAGCUUCCAACAUUCACCCAAACCUCCAUUAUUUGGACAUAUCGUGCAGGAAGGGACAAGUGGUGCCAUUUAGGCAUCCCUUGGUGUGUUGAAGAAAACGCAAUGCUUCUCAAAAUUCAGGCUUNNNNNNNNNNNNNNNNNNNNNNNNNCCCUGAUUUGGUUUUAGGUUCUUUAACGAUUUUGGUCAAAAUUUCUCAUCCUUGACCUAUGUGCCCCAACUUUAAACCCAAUACUCUCACUUUUAUCACUCACAUAAUAACUAUCAGUACUCAAAACAACCCAAUUGCAGAAAAAAACUAAAAAAACAGAAAAAUUGCAGAACCCGAUUCCGAUUUCUGGUUCAAAGGAAAAAAAAGCGCGAAGAAGAAAAAGAUAAAAGAGAAAGAAAUUAAACUUACUCUUGAUUUGCGGACAAUCCAAUGGUAGAGUUUGUGUAGAGUCGCUUAGAGAGAUGAAAACCUUCUGAGUUUUGAAUGAUGAAGUUGCAACCUUCUGAAUUCUGAUGAAGUUUAUUAGUCGCCGCUUAGGGAUUUUAGCGUGAAAGGAAUUUUUGGAGGGAUUUUAGGGUGAAAGUGAAUUUUUGGAGAGAUUUUACCGUGGAAGUAAAUUUUUGGAGCAUUCAGUGUUUUACUUUAAUUUCAGGUUCGCGCCUCUAUCCCGCUGGAAUUGCGUAUUAGAGACCAGAUAUUGACUUUUUUAUAGACCAAAAUUCAUCUUGUCAUGUAUUUAGAAAAUAAAAUUGCAUAUUAGGGACCAAAAAAAAUUCUCAUCCCUAUAAAUAUACUUUUAUGGAUCAUAUUUUAAACUUGUCGCUAAAUGCUGGUCCCUAAUAAGGCUUUUUCUUGUAGUGAUUCUCGCCGUUAACUUCCCAUUUUUAUCACUCCAUUGCAAGUCUCCCAAAUUCGAACCCUAGGAUUUAAACAUGAAACAUCAAAUCUUCGAAUUGCUCUUGUGUUAUGUUAAAUCAAAGCAUUCUUGAAGCUUCUUCAAAGAUUUCAUGAUGAAUAUUCUAUAUCCAGAGGUUAAACACAGUGACAUCUGGGUGUUCGGGCUUUGUCCGCCGAUUCGCACUUCUAACGAUCAACCUUCUUUCCUUUGAGGUAAAAAUCCUUACUGAUUUUCCCUCUAUUCUCUUUCAAUUUCACUCAAUCGUGCUCCCAUCAUCUGGUAAUCGUCAUAUUCCACUAUCUUAUUUUGAAUCAUUUGAAACCCUAGAGCCUUCAAUGGCCAUUAUAAAUAGAAGUCUUUAAUGCUCUCACUAAACAACAACUACAUACAACAAAAAAUACGAACCAAUUACCUAACACUGAGAAAAACACAUACACAAACACUGAGAAGUUUAGGAUUCCAAGCCUUAGGUUCUUACUAUUUUUCCUUUCUUUUGCUGACUACUAUUGUUGGUCUAAACUUGAGGUCUUAUGGGAUCUUAAGCAACUGAAAAGAGCUCUCGUUUGGUUUGCUACUCUCAAAAAGGUCAGCACCUCUCUCAUUCUUCUCUUCUGUUCGUUUUAUUUGAAUACUACAAGCAUGCUAAGUUAGGUUCUAUAUAUUACAGUUAUUUUAUGGUGUUUAAUAUGUUAAUACUUGUGUUUUGUUAGUUUAAUGGCUGCUUGUGAUUAGUUAUCUUGAUAUAAGUCUUUACAUGAUGAUCGAUUAAACUAUAUAAUUGAUUCUUGCUGAUCUUAUUUCUUGAGUUUCCAACACUCUAUAUGUUUAAGUUAUUAUAUGUUCAUGUUCACAUGAACCUCAUAGCUCUUAUUGGCAUGCAGUAACCUUUAUCCUUGCAUGUUACAUCUCUAUAGCUUGCGAGAUUUUGAACUCGAACUUAUAUUCUGAUUAAAUGAAUCUGAAGGUGUUAAGUUUAUAUCAUCUAUCCCUUUAAACCUUGAGCAAGAACUCUAAGUGUUUAUAUGUCAUCUUUACUACUUAUGUUUGUUAUACUGUUUCUGAGAUGCUACUAUGGUCUUUCAUUUUGUUUUAGUUGUUAGUUGUGUUACGACCCAAAACCUAACCCGUCGUGAGGGCGCCUAUCGUAAUACUAGGCAAGCCGACCUUUCCAAAAUACUUUCAAAAUACUUCAAUAUUUCAUAAAAAGGAUAAUUCAAAGCUUUUUCAUACUAGAAAGUUUUACAAAAGCCGGAGUUGAAUUCAAAAUAAAAUACGGAAAGAUAAACCUAAAUAUCGGGGUGUCACCAAGUCAUGAGCAUCCAGAUAUCCAGUCUAAUAAAAACAGUGUCUAAGUAUCAAUACAGGAAAGAAAGAAAACAUAGAAGGAGAGACAAGGUCUGCGGAUGCCGGCAACUACCUCGUAGUCUCCGGUACUCGAUCGUGCACGAACUCAACGACCUCCGUGAUCAAACACACCUGGAUCUGCACAUAAAGUGCAGGGUGUAUCAUGAGUACAACCAACUCAGCAAGUAACAGAAAUUAAAAAGGAACUGAGAGGGUAGUGACGAGCUAUACAAAUACAGUUCAUUUUCAAUAAUUCUAGCAAAGAAUAGACAUGCUUUCAAAUCUGGUAGUUCAAAUCAAAUCAGUUUUAUAUAGUUACAGUGCAGGUAAAUCCGGAUAUAGAAUCUUUCAGAAAUUUCACAACAAUGACAUAUAGAAACUAAGUGCAUCAACAAAUGAAAAAGCAAGUACAGCCUCUCAGGGCAACAGUCACUUAACUCGUCACUACAGCUCAAUCACUCGGCUCUCAGCCCUCAGUACUCACACUCAAUAGGUACAUGCACUUACUAGGGGUGUGCAGACUCCGGAGGGGCUCCUUUCUACCCAAGCGCUAUAUCCGCACGGACAACUCACAUGCUGCACGGAUAACUCAUGUGCUAUAGUAUCAAUAUGCGGAACCGCACAGACAACUCAUGUGCUAAUAUCAAUAUGUGGAACUGCACGGACAACUCACGUGCCAUAGUAUCAACACCUCACCGACGGGCCCUCGACUUCACUCAGUCAUCAGCCUCUCUAAUCUCUCGGGCUCUCGAAAAUCACAAAGAUCGGCCUAAAUAACGAUAACGUAGUGAAUCAACAAGAAUCAAGAAGAGGCUGAGAUAUGAUACGCAAGUAAAACCAUGAUUGAGUACAAGACAUCACUCAAUAAGUAAUUCAACAAGUAAGCGACCUCUGCGGGUCCCAAUAGUACCGUCACAUAGCCUAAGCAUGAUUUCUAACAUGAUUUGCAGUCAAUUUCAAUAACACAGGGAGAGCAUAUAGCUAGCAACAAGUUAUUCAACUUUACAGUUUCACGGAAUGGAUCAAGUCCCAAUUCCUACGGUGUACGCCCACACGCCCGUUACCUAGCAUGUGCGUCACCUCCAAAAUACUCACAUAAUCCAAUUAUCUGGGAUUUCAUACCCUCAGGACCAGAUUUAAAACUGUUACUUACCUCAAAACUCCUACUCCGAAAUACCUUUGCCCCUCGAAUAAAUCUCCGAACGCCCCGAAUCUAGCCACAAGUAGUACGAUAUAAUUAAUAUAAGCUAAAAAAAUCAAUUCCACAAGAAAAACACAAAAUAUAAGCCAAAAUCUGAAAUAUGCUCAAAACCGGCCCCCGGGCCCACUUCUCAAAAUCUGACAAAAGUCACAAAACCCGAAAGCCCAUUCACUCACGAGUCUAACCAUACUAAAUUCAUCAAAAUUCGACAUCAUUUGGUCCUCCAAUUUCCCAAAAUCCACAAUCCCAUUCUCAAGCCCUAAACCACCUAAUUUCACUUCAAAAUCUCGCUAAUUAGGUGGGGAAAUCAGUGGAGGAAUCAAGAUUUAUGAUAAAAAACGAGUACAAGAAGCUUACAUCAAUAAUCCCCUCGAAAAUCUUCUCCAAAAUCGUCUAAGUCUGAGUCUCAAAUGGUGAAAUAAGACUAAAAUCGCGAACCCUUGCUUUUUAAACCCUCUGCCCAGACUUUUCACAUCUGCGGAUCCACUAUCGCAGGUGCGGAUUCCACUUAAAAUCCCAGAUUCCGCUCCUGCGGCUUCAAGACCGCAUCUGCGCCUAUCGUAGGUGCAGAAACCCAUCAUAUCUGCGGUUAAAACUCGCGCCUAUGCCCAGCUGCCCAGCUUUAACACUAUAGACCUAUUCCAACUUCCGGAAUCGGAAUCCGACCCCGAUAUCAAAAAGUCAACCCCCGGUCAAACUUCUCAAAAAUUCAACUUUCACCAUUUUAAGCCUAAAUUAGCUACAGAACUCAAAUUCACAGUCCGGACACGCUCCUAAGUCCAAAAUUACCCAAUGGAGCUAACGGAAUCGAUGGAACUCCAUUCUAGAGUCGUCUUCACACACUUCCGACUAUGGUCAAAAUCUUAAGACUUAAGCUUUUGUUUUAGGGACUAAGUAUCCCAAAACACCCCGAAACCAAAAACAAGACCUCCCGGCAAGUCACAUAAGCAGAAACAGAUACGGAAAAAAUAGUAAAUAGGGGAUCGAGGCUAAUACACUCAAAAUAACCGGUCGAGUCUUUACAUCCUCCUCCUCUAAAAUAAUCGUUCGUCCUCGAACGAGCAUAGAGACAUACAUGAAGUGGUGAAAAGCUGAGGAUAACGGCUGCGUAUAUCAUGCUAGGUCUCCCAAGUCGCCUCCUCGACCGGCUGAACCCUCUACUGAACCUUCACAGCAGUAAUAUUCUUCGACCUCAGCUUUUGAACCUGCCUAUCCAAGAUCGUCAUUGGCUCCUCAACUUAAGAUAAAUCCUUGUCCAAUUGGACUGAGCUGAAAUCCAAUACGUGAGACGGAUCACCGUGAUAAAUCUGGAGCAUAGAAACAUGGAAUACUGAAUGAACUCUUGCUAGACUGGGAGGCAAGGCAAGAUCAUAAGCAACCUCCCCAACACAUCGCAAUACCUCAAAUGGACUGAUAAACCUCUGGCUCAGCUUACCCUUCUUUCCAAACCUCAUAAUACCCUUCAUGGGUGACACCCGGAGCAAGACGCGCUCUCCAACCAUGAAUGCAACAUGGUGAACCUUCCGAUCCGCAUAACUCUUCUGUCUGGACUGCGCUAUGCGUAGUCUAUCCUGAAUCACCCUAACCUUCUCCAGAGCAUCCUGAACUAAGUUUGUACCCAAUAAUCUAGCCUCGCCCGGCUCGAACCAACCCACUGGAGACCUACACCGCCUACCGCACAGAGCCUCAUACGGUGCCAUCUGGAUGCUCGACUAAUAAUUGUUGUUGUAACCAAACUCCGCUCGAGGCAAGAACUGAUCCCACUAACCUCCAAACUCCAUCACACACGCACAGAGCAUAUCCUCUAAUAUCUGAAUAGUGCGCUCGGACUGUCCGUCCGUCUGAGGGUGAAAUGUUGUGCUCAACUCCACUCAAGUACCCAACUCAUGAUGCACGGCCCUCCAGAACCGUGAUAUGCGUACCCCGGUCAGAGAUGAUAGAUACCGGUACACCAUGAAACCUGACGAUCUCGCAGAUAUACACUCGAGCCAGCUGCUCAGAAGAAUAGGUAGUCAUCACAGGAAUGAAAUGAGCUGACUUGGAUAGCCGUUCCACAAUCACCCAAACUGCAUCAAACUUUCGCUGAGUCCGUGGAAGCCCAACAACGAAAUCUAUAGUGAUCCGCUCCCAUUUCCACUCCAGAAUCUCUAACUUCUGAAGCAACCCACCUGGUCGCUGAUGAUCAUACUUCACAUAUUGGCAAUUUAGGCACCGAGCUACAUACUCCACUAUGUCCUUCUUCAUUCUUCUCCACCAGUAAUGAUGUCUCAAGUCCUGAUACAUCUUCGCGGCACCCUGAUGAAUAGAAUACCGCGAACUGUGAGCCUCCUGGAGAAUCAACUCACGCAAACCAUCUACAUUGGGCACACAUAGCCUGCCAUGCAUCCUCAAUGCACCAUCAUCGCCAAUAGUGACCUUCUUAGCAUCACCGUGCUGGACCGUGUCCUUAAGGACAAGCAAAUGGGGAUCAUCACACUGACGCUCCCUGAUACAAUCAUAAAGAGAAGACCGAGAGCCACACAAGCCAAUACUCGACUCGGCUCAGAAACAUCCAAUCUAACAAACUGGCUAGCUAAGGCCUGAACAUCCAAUGCCAACGGCCUCUUUGCUGCUGAAAGAUAUGCUAAGUUCUCCAAACUCUCUGCCCGGCGACUCAAGGCAUCGCCCACCACAUUGGCCUUCCCGGGAUGGUACAAAAUGGUGAUAUCAUAGUUCUUAAGAAGCUCCAACUACCUCCACUGACGCAGGUUAAGAUCCUUCUAUUUGAACAGAUGCUGCAAACUCCGAUGAUCAGUGUAAAUCUCACAAUGGACCCCCGUACAAACAGUGCCACCAAAUCUUCAAGGCGUGAAUAAUAGCUGCUAACUCAAGGUCAUGGACAUGAUAGUUCUUCUCAUGAGGCUUCAACUGGCGCGAAGCAUAAACAAUCACUCUACCCUCCUGCAUCAGAACACACCCAAUACCGAUCCACGAGGCAUCACAAUACAUUGUGUAAGAACCAGAAGUUGAUGGCAGAACUAGAACUGGAGCCGUGGUCAAAACAGUCUUGAGCUUCUGAAAGAUCUCCUCACACUCCUUCGACCACCUGAAAGGAUCACCCUUUUGGGUCAAUUUAGUUGAGGGCGAUGCAAUAGAUGAAAAGCCCUCCACAAAACGACGGUAAUAACCAGCCAAACCAAGAAAACUCCAAAUCUCCGUGGCUGAGGACGGUCUGGGGCCAACUCUGCACCGCCUAUAUCUUCUUCAGAUCUACCUGAAUAUCCUCCCUGGACACCACAUGCCCCAUGAACGCCACUGAACUGAGCCAAAACUCAUACUUGGAGAACUUUGCAUAAAGCUUCUCCUCCCUAAAUUGCUGCAACACAAUCCUCAGAUGCUGAGCAUGCUCCUCCUGGGUACGAGAGUACACCAGGAUGUAAUCAAUGAAUACAAUAACGAACGAGCCAAUAUAAGGCUGAAACACACUGUUCAUCAAAUGUAUGAAUGAUGCCGAGGCGUUGGUCAGCCCAAAAGACAUCACAAAGAACUCAUAAUGGCCAUAUCAGGUCCUGAAAUCUGUCUUAAGAAUAUCUGAAUCCCGAAUCUUUAACUAGUGAUACCCUGACCUCAAAUCAAUCUUAGAAAACACCCUCUCUCCCUAAAGCUGGUCAAACAGAUCAUCAAUACGUGGCAAUGGAUAUUUGUUCUUGAUUGUGACCUUGUUCAACUGUCUAUAAUCAAUGUACAUUCUCAUAGUACCAUCAUUCUUCUUCACAAAUAGAACUGGUGCACCCCAAGGUGACACGCUAGGCCGAAUAAACCCCUUAUCAAGGAGUUCUUGAAGCUGCUCAUUCAAUUCCUUCAACUCCGCCGGUGCCAUACUAUAUGGAGGAAUAAAAAUGGGCUGAGUGCCCGGCACCAAAUCAAUAUCGAAAUCAAUAUCCCUGUCAGGCGGCAUGCCCGACAGGUCUGCAGGAAACACAUCCGGGAAAUCUCGCACUACCUGAACAGAAUCAAUAGCAGGGGCCUCUGCACUAACAUCCUUCACAAAGAUCAGAUAAGAUAAACAACCUUUCUCAACCAUCUGCUGAGCUUUCAAGUAUGAAAUCACUCUACCNNNNNNNNNNNNNNNNNNNNNNNNNCCGAAUCUUUAACUAGUGAUACCCUGACCUCAAAAUCAAUCUUUAGAAAACACCCUCUCUCCCUAAAGCUGGUCAAAACAGAUCAUCAAUACGUGGCAAUGGAUAUUUGUUCUUGAUUGUGACCUUGUUCAACUGUCUAUAAUACAAUGUACAUUCUCAUAGUACCAUCAUUCUUCUUCACAAAUAGAACUGGUGCACCCCAAGGUGACACGCUAGGCCGAAUAAACCCCUUAUCAAGGAGUUCUUGAAGCUGCUCAUUCAAUUCCUUCAACUCCGCCGGUGCCAUACUAUAUGGAGGAAUAAAAAUGGGCUGAGUGCCCGGCACCAAAUCAAUAUCGAAAUCAAUAUCCCUGUCAGGCGGCAUGCCCGACAGGUCUGCAGGAAACACAUCCGGGAAAUCUCGCACUACCUGAACAGAAUCAAUAGCAGGGGCCUCUGCACUAACAUCCUUCACAAAGAUCAGAUAAGAUAAACAACCUUUCUCAACCAUCUGCUGAGCUUUCAAGUAUGAAAUCACUCUACCGGGAACAUAGUCUAUAUAGCCGCUCCACUCAACCCUCGGCAACCCAGGCAUCGCCAACGUCACGGUCUUAGCGUGACAAUCUAGAAUAACAUGACAUGGAGACAACCAAUCCAUAUCCAAAAUCACGUCAAUGUCAACCAUACUAAGCAAUAAGAGGUCCACUCUAGUCUCCAGACUCCAAAUAGUCACCACACAUGUCCUAUAUACACGGUCUACAAUGAUAGUAUCGCCCACUGGAGUAGAUACAUGAAUAGAUGAAACUAGAGACUCAUGGGGCAUAUCCAGAAAAUGAGCGAAAUACGAAGACACAUAUGAAUAAGUGGAACCAUAGUCAAAUAAUACAGAGGCAUCUCUGUGGCAAACUAAGACAAUACUUGUAAUCACAACAUCUGAAGCAAUGGCAUCUGGCUUGGCAGGAAGAGCAUAGAAACGGUACUGGCCACUCCCUGAUCGGCCUUUCCCUCUCGGGCGACCCCUAGCUGACUGAGCCUCACCUCGAGCUGGCUGGACGGGUGGUGGAGCUGCUGGUGCUGGUGCCAUCGGCCGCGUACUCUGCUGUGGAGCCCCUCUCAACAACUUAGGGCAAUCUCUCCUAAUGUGACCAAAAUCCCCACACUCGAAAUAACCCCUCCUCUGAUGGAACUGCUGCUCCUUAUGCCCAGAGGAACUACUCGUGGAAACCUGAGCUGACGAGAUAUGGUAAGAGCUCUGCGCCGUAAGUGCACUGAAUGACGACUAGCCCUGCUGAUGACUGUGUGACCCGUGGCCAGAUGAUGCACCACGGUGAACUGGGCGAGCCGCCUGAUCAUGCCUGAAAGGACGACCCCUACCGUGGUGGAACUGCCCCCAGAAGGAACACCGCUGAAGCCACCCUGGCCACGAGGCCUCCCUCUCAACCCGCUCCUGGCUGCGAACCAUCUCAAUCUGACAAGCAAUGUCGACAACAUCGUCGAAAGUAGCACCAGACACACACUCUCUCUCUAGUCAUAAGCAAUCGCAGCUAAAACGUGAGGCCAUCUAUGAACCUCUUGAUCCUGUCCCUAUCUGUGGGAACCAACCAGAUAACAUGACGGGCCAACUCUGAAAAUCUCCUCUCAUACUGCGUCACGGACAUAUCACCCUGACGAAGCUGCUCAAACUGCCUGUGCAGCUCCUCUCUACGGGAUUGAGGUACGAACUUCUCCAGGAAUAGACCGGAGAACUGCUGCCAGGUAAGGGGUGCUGCGCCAACCGGCCUACGCCUCUCGUAAGCCUCUUACUAACUGAAUGCAGCCCCUGAGAACUGAAAGAUAGUGAACGAGACCCCACUGGUCUCCAAAAUACCUACCAUACGGAGUAUCCUCUGACACCUGUCCAAGAAACCCUGUGCAUCCUCUCCCUCUGCACCACUGAAAGAUGGAGGCUGGAGCCUCUCAAACCUCUCCAAUCUACGCUGCUCAUCCUCAGGCAUAGCAGGAACAACAUAAUCCUGAGCAGCGGCAACCGGCUGGGCUGGUGGUACCCCGGUGUCUGGAAUCCCUGUACCACCUACUCUGUUGUGCAGGCGGCGGGAGUCUGAGCGCCUCCCCCGACCUGAGAAGUGGCUGCUGCGGCCGGAAUAGAGACUGUCUGAGCAAGACUGGUACACGCGGUCAGAAUCUAAGCUAAGGCCUCCUGAAGACCUAGAAUCACAAUGGGCACGGGUGGUGCCUGAGCUGGUCCUACAGGCUCGUCCACAGCUAGAGCCUGCUCCUGAACUGGGAAACUGGUGGGUCUGCAAGUACUGCCCCAGCUGUUGUGCGAGCUGCACCUCUGCCCCUACUGCAACCUCUACCGCGACCUCGGCCUCUCGCGGCCUUGGCUGGUGGUACUGGUGGUUGUCCAUCCUGCCUCGUAAUAUGCGUCCUCACCAUCUGUGAGAGAAUUAGAACAACGGAAAUUUAGUCAAUAGAAUCAACAGAUUCGCACAACAAGAAUUCAAGAAUGUGAAGUUUUUCCUAAGGGUUCGGCAACCUCUCGAAGAUAAGUACAGACGUCUCCGUACCGAUCCGCAAGACUCUACUAAACCUGCUCAUGACUCGUGAGACCUAUGUAACUUAGGCUCUUAUACCAACUUGUCACGACCCAAAACCUCACCCGUCGUGAUGGCGCCUAUCGUGAUACUAGGAAGCCGACAUUUUCAAAACACUUUCAAAAUACUUCAAUAUUUCAUAAAAAGGAUAAUUCAAAGUUUUUUCAUACUAGAAAGUUUUACAAAAGCCGGAGUUGAAUUCAAAAUAAAAUACAGAAAAAUAGCCCCAAACAUCGGGGUGUCACCAAGUCAUGAGCAUCCAGAUAUCCAGUCUAAUAAAAACAGUGUCUAAGUAUCAAUAUAGAAAAGAAAGAAUACAUAGAAGGAGAGACAAGGUCUGCGGACGCCGGCAGCUACCUCGUAGUCUCCGGUACUCGAUCGCGCACGAACUCAAUGACCUCCAUGAUCAAACACACCUGGAUCUGCACAUGAAGUGCAUGGUGUAGUAUGAGUACAACCAACUCAGCAAGUAACAGAAAUAAAUAAGGAACUGAAAAGGUAGUGACGAGCUAUACAAAUACAGUUCAUUUUCAAUAAUUCCAGCAAAGAAUAGACAUGCUUUCAAAUCCGGCAGUUCAAAUCAAAUCAGUUUUAUAUAGUUACAGUGCAGGUAAAUCCAAAUAUAGAAUCUUUCAAAAAUUUCACAACAAUGACAAAUAGCAACUAAGUGCAUCAACAAAUGAAAAAGCAAGUACAGCCUCUCAGGGCAACAGUCACUCAACUCGUCACCACAACUCAAUCACUCGGCUCUCAGCCCUCAGUACUCACACUCAAUAGGUACAUGUGCUCAUUGGGGGUGUGCAGACUCCGGAGGGGCUCCUUUCAGCUCAAGCGCUAUAUUCGCAUGGACAACUCAUGUGAUGCACAGAUAACUCACGUGCUAUAGUAUCAAUAUAUGGAACCGCACGGAUAACUCAAGUGUUGCACGGAUAACUCACGUGCCACAGUAUCAAUACGUGAAACCGCACGGAUAACUCACAUGUUGUACGGAUAACUCAUAUGCCAUAGUAUCAAUACCUCACAAACAGGCCCUCGGCCUCACUCAGUCAUCAGCCUCUCUAAUCUCUUGUGGUCUCGGAAAUCACAAAGAUUGGCCCAAACAAAGAUAACGUAGUGUAUCAACAAAUAUCAAGAAGAGGCUGAGAUAUGAUACGUAAAUAAAACUAUGACUGAGUACAAGACAACAAUCAACAAGUAAUUCAUCAAGUGCGCGACCUUUGCGGGUCCCAACAGUACCAUCACAUAGCCUAAGCAUGAUUUCUAACAUGAUUUGCAAUCAAUUUCUAUAACACAGGGAGAGCAUAUAGCUAGUAACAAGUUAUUCAACUUUACAGUUUCAUGGAAUGGGCUAAGUCCCAAUUGCUACGGUGUACGCCCACACGCCCGUCACCUGGCAUGUGCGUCACCUCCAAAAUACUCACAUAAUCCAAUAAUCUGAGGCUUCAUACCCACAGGACCAGAUUUAAAAGUGUUACUUACCUCAACCGCGCAAAACUCCUACUCCAAAAUGCCUUUGCCCCUCGCAUCAAUCUCCAAACGUCCCAAAUCUAGCCACAAGCUGUAUGAUAUAAUUAAUAUAAGCUAAACGAAUCAAUUCCGAAAGAAAAACACAAAAUUAUAAGCCAAAAUCCGAAAUAGGCUCAAACCCGGCCCCCGGGCCCACGUCUAGAAAUCAAACAAAAGUCACAAAACCCGAAAGCUCAUUCACAUACGAGUCUAACCAUACUAAAUUCAUCAAAAUCCGACAUCAUUUGGUCCUCCAAUUCCCUAAAAUCCACUCUCCCAUUCUCAAGUCCUAAACUCCCAAAUUUCACUUCAAAAUCUCGCUAAUUAGGUGGGGAAGUCAGUGGGGAAUCAAGAUUUAUGAUAAAAAAAUGAGUACAAGAAACUUACCUCAAUAAUCCCCUCGAAAAUCUUCUCCAAAAUCGCCUAAGUCCGAGUCUCAAAUGGUGAAAUAAGACUAAAAUCGUGAACCCUUGCCUUUUAAACCUUCUUCCCAGACUUUUCGCAUUUGCGGACCCACUGUCGCAUCUGCGGAAAAUCCAACGCAGGUGCGAAUUUCACCUAAAAUCCCAGAUUCCGCUCCUGCGGCUUCAAGACCGCAUCUGCGGAAACCCAUCACAUCUGCGACUAAAACUCAUGUAUGCGCCCAGUUGUCCGCUUUUGCGACCAUCGUAGGUGAGGGAAAAUCUUCGCACUUGCGACUUCUGCUCAACUCCUCCUUGGCUGCUUCUGCGGUCCCAUCCCCGCUUCUGCGAGCUCGCACCUGCGGUGCCCACUCCGCAGGUGCGGUUACACCAGUAGCAGCAACACUUCAGCUGCUUCAUCAAUUCAAAAGUUCAAGUCCGUUAACCAUCCGAAAUCAACCCGAGGCCCCCGGGACCUCAACCAAACAUACCAACUAGUCAUAUGACCCAAUGCAAACUUAGUCGAACCUUCAAAUCACUCAAAACAAUAUCAAAAUACCGAUUACACCCAGAUUCAAGCCUACAGAACUUCUAAACUUCCAAAUUCCACAAACGAUACCAAAACCUACCAUACCAUGUCCGAUUGACCUAAUAUUUUGCACACAAGUCAUAUUCAACACUACGGACCUAUUUCAACUUCCGAAAUCAGAAUCCGACCCCGAUAUCAGAAAGUCAACCCCUUGGUCAAAUUUUUCAAAAAAUUGACUUUCGCCAUCUCAAGCCUAAAUUAGCUACAGACCUCAAAUUCACAGUCCAGACAUGCUCCUAAGUCCAAAAUCACCCAACGGAACUAACAUAACCGACGGAACUCCAUUCCGGAGUCGUCAUCACACACUUCCGACUACGGUCAAAAUCCUGAGACUUAAGCUUUCGUUUUAGGGACUAAGUGUCCCAAAACACUCGAAAACCAAAAAUAAGACCUCCCGGCAAGUAACAUAAGCCGAAACAGAUACGAAAAAAAUAGUAAAUAGGAGAUCGGGGCUAAUACACUCAAAAUGACCGGCCAGAUCGUUACAAGUUAACCUAAUCUUAUUUGAACUAAACCUUAUCCUUUCUUCUCCCAGUAAUCAUACUGUACAAAUCUGUUAAGGUCAACUUAUCUUUCCUCACAAUAUGAUCAUGAUACUGUUUCAUUUCUCUUUGUUAUAAAUAUUGAUAAUUGGUUAUACUGAACUUAACUGUUUUCUUAAUUAAUCAACACCCUCAACUGCAUCCUUACUUGGUAUAAUGUCUCUUAUAUCUUAUCUUUAGGGUCAUCAUUCAUCUUUGAAAAUCUAGCAUGCAUUUUAUCUUUUUAAGAGACCUAGUUACUCUUACCUGACUAAGUGAUAACUUGUAAAAAUGGAAGCAUGAUCAUCUUUGUAUUCAUGUGAUAACCCAGACUUAAGUUUGAGUUGAACUUGACCUGGUAUAAUGUCUUUCCCUUUUCUAUAACUUUGCUUAAUCUAAUCCUACAAAAAAUGUGUAAAGUUUCCUCUGUUUAUAUAAGAUCACUAUUGCAUUUGAAGUAUUUAAGUAUCUGACUGAAUACUGCAUGUUCUUACUUAGUUUCUGAUAUAUUUUGUCCAGAAUUGCCUUAUUCCUUGAUCUCCCGAUAACUUUAAAACCAAACUCAAUCCCUAGGCCUCAUAAAGAUCCUUGCUGAUACUAUCUGAACUUGAUACCAUUAGGAGUAUGAUGCUUAGGGAUUCCCUGUUAGUAUGUAAAUUUGUGGACCUAUUGAGAAAGUUGAUCGUGUCAUAGAUAUCUUUGAAACCUUUAUAUAUGCUGAGUUAUUGUUGUAUAGCUUUACCUUUCCUUGGAGUAUUGCUUUAUUCUAAAUUUAGACUCUUGUAACAUGUUUGUGAUAUUUCUGAUGUUCACUUGUAUGAGUUUCAGAACCAGAUCUUUAGAAUUCAUUUGAUACAUGUUUGUUUUGGUAAUUCAAUAUAGACUAUAUAUUCUUAUGUUAGGAGGGAAAGUAUAUUUUGUGAAAGGUAAAGCUAUUGAAUUCAAUUUACAUUGGAAGGGCCUCGUUGACAUUUAAACCCGUAAGGAACACGUGUUGUUAGUGUUUAAGGGUAUUUGGGAGUGGAGUUCGACUCUAGGUUGAGAUGUCCACCCCGGCACAGGCAUUGCCCUAGGCCUUGAGUCCCUUGAGAACAUUGAAGUGUCGGGGAUCCAAAGGGAGCAUCGACCUUGGGUGGAGCUUCCUCCUUAGCCCUUAAUUCAUUGACACAUUUAAUUCUUUAGGGGUUUAGUGUUUAAUGACAACGAAAGGUUUUCAAUGUGAAUUAUUUGCUAAGUAGAACCACCACAUUAAUAUAACUUCCCACAAUAUUGAUUAUUUUCUUAGUUCAUUUAUUUGUCUAUAUACCUGUCAUGUGUAUUGGAAUCUGCUGAGAUUGUGGGAAUAUUUCUAAUGACCUUCUUUUAUUUUUUGGGCAUGUGUACAUUUGGGUGUCACGACCCGAAAUUUCUACCUAUGGAACCGUGAUGGCGCCUAACAUUUCACUUGCUAGGCGAGCCAACGUUAGAAUAUAAUUAGCCAUUUNNNNNNNNNNNNNNNNNNNNNNNNNNNNNNNNNNNNNNNNNNNNNNNNNNNNNNNNNNNNNNNNNNNNNNNNNNNNNNNNNNNNNNNNNNNNNNNNNNNNNNNNNNNNNNNNNNNNNNNNNNNNNNNNNNNNNNNNGUAAAGUGAAUAAUCCAUAAUAAUCGCGAUAUCUAAAUACCAUCCCAAAACUAGAGUCACAAGUGCACGAGCUUCUAGAAUAAUACAAAUAAGGGUCUGAAUGAAAUAAAGUUGUCUGAAAGAAAGCACACAGCUAAAAUAAAGUAGAAGGGGACUUCAGAGCUGCGAACGUUAUGCAGCUAUACCUCAAGUCUCCACUGGUAGUUGAAUCCGAGCAAGUCUAUGGUACGUCGCUGAGACCAACUUCGAAAUUUGCACAAGAAGUGCAGAGUGUAGUAUCAGUAUAACCAACCCUAUGUACUGAUAAGUGUCGAGCCUAACCUCGACGAAGUAAUGACGAGGCUAAGGCAGGUCACUUACUUUAACAUGUACGCAAUAAUAAUAAUAAUAAGUAAGACAUGUAAAUCAUAUCAAUAAUUAAAAUUAUUUCAGCAGUCACAACCAAUUAUUUCUUUUCUCAUUCUGUUCCGGCGUGCAACCCGCUAAAACAAUAUAAACUUAAAAUAUAAUCUGUUGCGGCGUGCAACCUGAUUCCCCAAUAUAAUCCUUCAAUUAAAUUCCUUUACGGUGUGCAAUCCGCUCCAAUAAUAUAAUUUAACAACCCUUAAAUGUAAUAUAAAUACUCCAAUAAAUACCACAUUCGAUAAGAAAUUAUUAGGCAACAAAGCAUACAAUAUUUAUAAAUUAUUUAGGAAACAAGUAAUGACAGGUAGCAAUUAAGUCACAUAAGUCAAAUAAGCAUGUAACAAUUAUAGCAUAAAUUCAAGACUUAAUAUGUGGCGAAGAAUAUGAGAGAAACAAUUAAUAUAAUAAUUAACUCAUGAUAAAGAAAAUAAUUUAAGAUUUCCAGAUAAAUACGCAAACAAUCAAUUUGACGACGUAUAGACACUCGUCACCUUGUCUAUACAUCUUUACACAAGAAAUUCACGUAACAAAUAAUUUAAAGGUUUUAUUCUUUCAAGUCAAGGUUAACCACGAUACUUACCUUAUUCCGCAAUUUUAAAUGAUCACUCGAACACGGCUUUUUCUUUCGAAUUAUUCUCCAAAUCAAUCAAACCUUAACCUCAACCGGACAACUCGAAAUUGACGAACCAAAACUGGCUGGAGCCUUAAGAUCGGAAACCCGAACAGCAACCUCGACCGGACCAACUCGAAAUUGACGAACCAAAGCUUCACUCAAGCCAGCAAAGAAAUCUGACAAAGGAAGCUAAACAGAGUUUUUAAAAGAUACUUUUGGUAGAAUUGGGAUUUGUCUUUAUUUUGUAGAAGAAGAUGAGAUUUCAAAGGUAACAAAAAAUGAGAAGUGAAGUUAAUGCUGAUUUUUAACUUUUGGUCCUGCGUUUUAUGAUGGGAACUGGUAAUAUAAGGAUGUGCUGUGAUGAUGUUAAUGGUGUUUCUAUAGUAAAUCUCACACGGUGAAAAUGGGGGUCUAGAGGUGAUUUACAGUAACGAUGGAAGUGGAUUUAAUUGACGAAAGUCUGAGUGCGAGUUAGUGCUUAAAUGAAGUACCUGUGUCCUUUCUGUUCCUCUCUAUCUCGUCCCCAAAUUUGUUUCGUUCUCCAUUUCUCAGAUCUCUUUUCCUCUCUCUAUCUCUCUUUUUGUCAGUUUUCUUCUGUCUACGGACCUCUUAUUUUCCAGCCCCCUUCAGCAGCAAAGCAGAUUUCCAAAAAUGAUCUGCCGGCUCGUCCGAAAUCCACUCGAGCCUCUCAUGAUCUCGUAUGAAUAUUCCAACAAGUCCCAUAACAUAAUACAGACUUACUCGGGGUUUCAAAUCACGUCAAAUAACGUCGAAAUUACAAUUCACACCUCGAUUCAGACUUAUGAGUUUCAAACUUUUCACUUUACAAAAUUCGCGCCGAAAUGAAUCAAAUGAAUACGGAUUGAUUUCAAAUUCGGCGCACAAGUCAUAAUUGGCGUAAUGGAGCUAUUUCAUCUCUCGAAAUCCCAAUCCGAGUCCGAUAUCGAUAAGGUCAAAUUCAUGGUCAAACUUUGAAAUCUUUAAGCUUUCAAACUUCUAAUUUUUCAACAAAUGGCGAUAACUCGAGUUAGGGACCUCCAAAUUAAAUUCUGAGCAUACGCCCAAGUCCCAAAUUACGAUACGAACCUACCGAAACUGUCAAAACACUGAUCCUGGUCCAUUUGCUCAAAAUAUUGACCGAAGUCAACUUAAGUGAGUUUUAAUGCACAAAUUCAUAUUUUUAUCAAUUUUUCACAUAAAAACUUCCCGAAAAAUUAUAUGGACUACGCACGCAAGUUGAGUAAAGCUAAAUGGUGCUAUUUGAGGUCUCAGAACACUGAAUUGAAUAUUAAAUUUAAAGAUGACCUUUUGGGUCAUCACCUAAGGAACUCUGGCCCAACUAGCUUUGCUGCAACUUUGAAGAGUCCAAUCUUGCCAUAUCCGCACCUCUCAAAUUGUUGGGCCUACCUUGUUGAGGCCCAAUCAUCAAAGUCUAGUUCUCUCUCCCUACUUCUUUCGUUAUUGUUCAUUAUUUCCAUAGCAUGAUUUACUGCCUUUAUUAUUUUUCGCUUUCAGCCUUCGUUGUUUUAUCAUAUUUUGUUCCUCAUAUAUUUAACACUCAUAUAUUAGAUUAUGUACUUUAUUUUCAUGCCUUAGUAUUACAUGAAAGCAUAGGCAAACCUUAACUAAUAUAGGACUUAAAAAGAAAUAACUAGUAAUUAAUCUCCGCCUCCUAUUAAUUAUACUUUUUCAUCUUGCACUUUUCUUAAAGGUUUUGAAGCUCAGGUCUUUAAUCAGAACGACAACCCGUUUUCAAAGAAAAAUUAGAAAAUAAUCAUUGAUUUUCACUAACAAGGAAUGAAACCAGAUUUUCAUAAAAGGCAGUAACGAACGAUCACCCAAACAAAUUUUCAAAAACUCGCCUUCUUCAGAAUUCUAAGAAAAAUCAAGGUACAUUUGGAAUCGUUGUUCUUAUGUAUAUUUUCUGUAAAAAUUGUACAAGCAUUUAUUUUCUUUAAAGAUAAUCACUUUCUUGACAUAAUAAUUACAAGCCUUAAAAUCUAGACCACUUUCAAAACUCUCUUAACCUUCAAUAACUCUUUUAUAAUCCUACACCCCUUCUAAAUAUUAUAUGUACGCCUUUUAACAUGUAGUAAACCAUGUCUUAAUAAUUAAGCAUAGUAUAAAUAAUCGAGCCCUUAAAAUUAGUCUAAGUCCUAUGAAGGUACCUCAGGUAGAUUUUAAGGAAUGCCUAACAUGCACCUUCCCCUUAGAAGAACCAAAACCAUUACCCAUAAUCUCACCAGUUUGCAGACCUAUAGUGAACAUAACUUAGUAAAUAAAUAGGUACCCUAGUAUACCUUUAAAUAUUAGGUGGCGAUUCUCUUUCAUCAACAACGGAGAAACCACAAGUUGAAUCCUGUCUUGACUGAUGCAAAAUAAGGUGCAACAGUGAUCACUUGUGUUCUUUAGUUCUUUUCUUUUUCGUCAUUAUAAUUGCAGUCCUUUGAAUUUUAGAUUCUUAAAGCUGCCAUCUUUUACUAACCAACAUAAUUUUAUUUACCUCUGCUUAUACUAAAAUAUUAUUUGGUUGUAUUUAAUUGGCUGAUAAAAUUGUAAAUUUAAUAUAGAACUUACAUUGUAUACUUGAAAAUAAAAAAAAGGAAGAAAAAGAAACUUAUUAAUCUUCAGUAAAAAUAUGUUAUGUCAAUUUUUUAACAGUUCUCCCUAUUAUGUAUUUUUACAUCUGUAACUUUCUAAAUAAGAUAUGGAUCGACUAACUAAUUUCUUUUCAAUUAGUUAGAAAACCUGUAAUGACAAUUUGAUAUUGUAAAAUCACUGUCUUAUUGUUGUCAACAUAUGAUUUUUAAUUUUUAGUAUUUGGCUUUAGUCACCUAUUAGUAUUAUAUAUACAGAUAAAACUAUUAGUUUCAGUAAUGUACACUUCAUUCGCUUAAACAUUAUCAGUACUAAUAAUGAAAAAUAUUAUAAGCAAUUCAAUUUAAACGUUUAAUCGUAAAUCUUAUUACCCUACAUUAACCUAACACAAAAAGAGUUUUACAAUAAAAAAACUCUAUAGUUUCCUUUAAUCAAGUGGAUAAUUAUACUUAAAUAGAAAAAAUCAAUAGCCAUGUGCAUAGCAUAAAUGCUUUAGAUUGGAUUCAUUUUUAAUCCAACAUGGAUCAUACGAAAAAAAUGGAUCUGAAUUUAAGUCAAUCUAUUAUUUUAAAAAGAAAAACGAAAAAACAAAUUUACUAUAGAGUACUUCUUGCUCAAAUGUCUCAUUUAUAAAUAUUCAAUGCAAUUUUGUUUUUCGGGGAAUAAGGGAGUAAAUGGAACUUUAAUUUAUAGAUAACAUGUACAUAAAUAAAUAAUAAAGGGAGGCCAUCAUGAGCAACACUUGCACAUAAAAAUAAGUGAAGAAAUAUCAAAAGAAAAAAGAAAAAUAAGCAAGAAUAUUACAUGCCAGAGGUACGUAGUUUACUUAUCGAGACGCCUAUAUAUACGACCUUCGGAUCUAGCAAUGAGAUACUCAUACACAAAAUAUCAUAAAACUUGAAGUGUUAUUCCUAACAUGACGUUGAUUAAGCUUAGCUUCAUUUUCACUAUUCUUAUCAUGACAGUCACAAGUUAAUAUUCAUUUCUGUUUAUAUCUACAAUGUAGAAUUGUUAUGUUUGUUAGUACGUAUGUAGGUACAUAUCACAUAUGUGACCUUGCACAUACAUACAAAUUGAAUUUAGUAGUGUUUAUGCGUGUGUGUUUUUUAUUAUCUGAUGUAUAAAUGUGGGCUUUUGAUAUUAUACUGAUGAUUAUUUGAUUCUGAUACUGAUUAUGGUUAAAUAUUUCAGUCAAUACAUCCUGGUUCUCAACGAAACAAGUUAUAGCUACACAAGAUGUUGAUCUUGUGCUCCCCGGACUCAAGAGAAGAAUGCUCCCACAGCUUAAUACUUGUUUUAGAUCUUGUACGUCGGAUAGUGAUUGCAGCGAUUGUUGGGUUUGUUGCAUUUGUUCAAACACACUCUUGUACCCGAAUCAAACCGUGUGUGCGUCAAAUUUUGGUGGUGACUAGUGGCAGUGGACAGAUUACAAUUAUGAUCAAUAUGUCAUUGUGUAAUUUCAGUGUUUGCUUGUCUUUUCUUAUUUAUUUACUCGUCUUUUGUGCUAUGAAAAAUAAUAAUAACAAGUCAUGAGUGACUUUCUAUUCAGAAAUAAUAAUUGAUUAUGCUCCAAAACAUGAUUGGAUUUUGCUUUGUUUUAGUUGUAUCAAUCAUGAUACAUUUUCUAAAAUAAACAUUUAUUAGUAUGAAAAGGAGCCUUGGAGCAACAGUAAAGUUGUAUUCGUGAGACCUAUAGGUCACGGGUUCGAGCCGUAAAAUUAACUAUGCGACCCUUUUCCGGACCUUAACUGAACGCGGGAUACUUCGUGCAUCGAGCGCCCUACAUUUAUUAGUACGUUUAUCACAUAUGUAACCUAUAUGUUAGAUUCCUGUCCUGUACCUUUCAAUUUUCUCUAAGGUAGAGUUUCCUUUUAGCUGUUUAUAAUGGGAUAUUUUUGUUGUUGUGCUCUUGAGAAUCUCAAUACAAGGAAAAAGGGAAAAAGAAACUAAACAUGCAAAAGAAGUGAAUUUUAAGUACUCACAUGUAACUUUUAAAUAAAAUCACAAAUAUCGCAAACUUCUCAACUCAUGUAGUUAGGUCUAAAUACUGUAUUUAUUAAAAUCUAAGCGUGUUGAUGUUGGGCAUAUUUUCAUAUGUUUCGAUAUUAAUUUACUCACAUUUUUACCGCUUUUUGGUUAUAUUUGAUAUUGAAUAUGCCCAAUUUAAUUUGAUUAUAGAGUUUUAUAUUUAUUUGGGUGUUAAUGGAUAAUGUAGGUACAUCGGAGAUGGAUUUUGAACAAAAUGACGAAUUUGGAGUAUAUGGUGAAUUAAUAUUAAAUAGAGUCUUUAUGUCGAAGACCAAAAUAAUUCAAUGUGGAGGAAGCCAAGUGCAAUAAAGAAUGAAAGUAUUUUGAUGGGAUCUUAGAUAAUGUAGCGUAGAUUUAAUUAUGUGGCAUUGGAGUUUAGUUGAGAUCUUACAAUUAAAUUGAAGCAGAAAACUAAAUAAGACAUUGGAAAAGAAAGGUUAGGCAAAAGCCACAUUGAAGGAAACUAAAUUGGCAGCAGAGAUUGAAAUUGCAAAAAGCUUCUGGUUUGUACGCCAAGGCAGCGCGAGGCGCUGCCCUAAACACCGGAGGCGAGAUUUUUCCUAAUUCGCUCGGGACAAGGUUAUUUCGGUCCUACAGGCCCUCAACUCAUAUAAAAGGUGUCACGAUCCAGUUUUUCCUAUAGGCCGUGAUGAUACCCAACGUCGUCGCUAGACAAGCCAACGGUGAACUAACCAUGUAUUAUUCUUUUUUAAUAAUUCCAAAAUAAUUGGAGUUUAUUUAUUAAGAAAAUAAGAAGUGAAAAGUUAAUAAAUUAAAGCAAAAGCUAAUGAAAGAGCAAUUGAAGGGAAAUAAAUGCUAUAAAACAAUAAAGUCUACUAGCAUGUUUCCAAGAUCAGGUGUCACAAAUGUAUGAGCAACUAGUAGAAUAUAUAAAACACUAAGCUACUGUCUGAAAUA